AGGGGAUCUUCGGACCUUUCGCUAUGAGAUGAGCCUGCGUUAGAUUAGCUAGUUGGUAGGGUAAAGGCCUACCAAGGCGACGAUCUAUAGCUGGUCUGAGAGGACGAUCAGCCACACUGGGACUGAGACACGGCCCAGACUCCUACGGGAGGCAGCAGUGGGGAAUAUUGGACAAUGGGCGAAAGCCUGAUCCAGCAAUACCGCGUGUGUGAAGAAGGCCUUAGGGUUGUAAAGCACUUUCAAUUGGGAGGAAAACCUGCCGGCCAAUACCCGGUAGCUUGACAUUACCUUUAGAAGAAGCAUCGGCUAACUCCGUGCCAGCAGCCGCGGUAAUACGGAGGGUGCGAGCGUUAAUCGGAACUACUGGGCGUAAAGCGUGCGCAGGCGGUUCGUUAAGUCAGAUGUGAAAGCCCUGGGCUCAACCUGGGAACUGCAUUUGAAACUGGCGGACUAGAGUUUAGUAGAGGGGAGUGGAAUUUCAGGUGUAGCGGUGAAAUGCGUAGAUAUCUGAAGGAACACCAGUGGCGAA
rnacentral:rRNA from 1 species